CUACCAUGGCGUUUACGGGUAACGGAGGAUUAGGGUUCGAUUCCGGAGAGGGAGCCUGAGAAACGGCUACCACAUCUAAGGAAGGCAGCAGGCGCGUAAAUUACCCAAUCCUGACUCAGGGAGGUAGUGACAAGAAAUAACAGACCGGUUCCUUUGGAUUCGGGAUUGCAAUGAGCCGAAUUUACACCCCUUAGCGAGGAUCGAUUGGAGGGCAAGUCUGGUGCCAGCAGCCGCGGUAAUUCCAGCUCCAAUAGCGUAUAUUAAAGUUGUUGCAGUUAAAAAGCUCGUAGUUGGAUUUCUGGGAGGGUGCCAAUGUCCGUCGACGUACGUGUUGCAGCGGCGCCCUUCCAUCCUUCUGUUAACGGCUCUCGGCAUUUAUUUGCUGGUGUCGGGCUCAGAUAUUUUACCUUGAGAAAAUUAGAGUGUUUCAGGCAGGCUAGGCCGGAAUACAUUAGCAUGGAAUAAUGGAAUAGGACUACGGUCUCUUUGUUGGUUUGAGGGACUGCAGUAAUGAUUAAUAGGGAUAGUUGGGGGCAUUAGUAUUUAAUUGUCAGAGGUGGAAUUCUCGGAUUUGUUAAAGACUAACUUAUGCGAAAGCAUUUGCCAAGGAUGUUUUCAUUAAUCAA
rnacentral:rRNA from 1 species